rnacentral:rRNA from 1 species
UACGUAGGGUGCAAGCGUUGUCCGGAAUUAUUGGGCGUAAAGAGCUCGUAGGCGGUCUGUUGCGUCGGCUGUGAAAACCCGAGGCUCAACCUCGGGCCUGCAGCCGAUACGGGCAGACUAGAGUUCGGCAGGGGAGACUGGAAUUCCUGGUGUAGCGGUGAAAUGCGCAGAUAUCAGGAGGAACACCGGUGGCGAAGGCGGGUCUCUGGGCCGAUACUGACGCUGGAGGAGCGAA